CCUACGGGAGGCAGCAGUGGGGAAUAUUGGGCAAUGGAGGAAACUCUGACCCAGCAAUGCCGCGUGAAUGAAGAAGGUCUUCGCAUUGUAAAGUUCUGUAGUUAGGGAAGAAUGUAAUGACGGUACCUAAAGAAUAAGCCCCGGCUAACUACGUGCCAGCAGCCGCGGUAAUACGUAGGGGGCAAGCGUUGUUCGGAAUGACUGGGCGUAAAGGGUGCGUAGGCGGUAGUACAAGUUAGAAGUGAAAUACUCAGGGCUUAACUCGGGUGCUGCUUCUAAAACUGUACGACUUGAGUGCAGUAGAG
rnacentral:rRNA from 1 species